UCCUGUAGUGGGGAUAGCCCCGCGAAGCCGGAUUAAUACCGCAUACGCUCUGCGGAGGAAAGCGGGGGAUCUUCGGGACCUCGCGCUACAGGGGCGGCCGAUGGCAGAUUAGCUAGUUGGUGGGGUAAAGGCCUACCAAGGCGACGAUCUGUAGCUGGUCUGAGAGGACGACCAGCCACACUGGGACUGAGACACGGCCCAGACUCCUACGGGAGGCAGCAGUGGGGAAUUUUGGACAAUGGGCGCAAGCCUGAUCCAGCAAUGCCGCGUGUGUGAAGAAGGCCUUCGGGUUGUAAAGCACUUUUGUCCGGAAAGAAAACCUCUGCCCUAAUACGGCGGGGGGAUGACGUACCGGAAGAAUAAGCACC
rnacentral:rRNA from 1 species